GACGAACCGUGCGAACGUUAUUCGGAAUCACUGGGCUUAAAGCGCGUGUAGGCGGGUCGCCACGUCGGAUGUUGAAAUCCCCCGGCUCAACCGGGGAACAGGCACCGAAACGAGCGGCCUGGAGGGGAGUAGGGGGACCUGGAACUUCCGGUGGAGCGGUGAAAUGCGUUGAGAUCGGAAGGAACGCCCGUGGCGAAAGCGAGGUCCUGGGCUCUUACUGACGCUGAGACGCGAAAGCCAGGGGAGCAAACGGG
rnacentral:rRNA from 1 species